UUGGUACCGCCGUGAAGUGUUUAUUAAUAUUUUGAUCCCAACUAAGUGAUGGAUCAUAACAGCGAUAAAAAUUAAACUUACAGUUGUCUUUCCACUUCUUCCCAAUAUUUGCAAGUAUAUAUAUAGUUCUUGUGAUUUUAAUCAUUUACUGCACAUUUAUCAUUCAAGGUAACAUUAGAUCUUUUACUUUUCCAAUUAUUUCAGAGCCAGAU
rnacentral:lncRNA from 1 species